rnacentral:rRNA from 1 species
GAUGAACGCUGGCGGCGUGCCUAAUACAUGCAAGUCGAGCGAACAGACGAGGAGCUUGCUCCUCUGACGUUAGCGGCGGACGGGUGAGUAACACGUGGAUAACCUACCUAUAAGACUGGGAUAACUUCGGGAAACCGGAGCUAAUACCGGAUAAUAUCUUGAACCGCAUGGUUCAAUAGUGAAAGACGGUUUUGCUGUCACUUAUAGAUGGAUCCGCGCCGCAUUAGCUAGUUGGUAAGGUAACGGCUUACCAAGGCAACGAUGCGUAGCCGACCUGAGAGGGUGAUCGGCCACACUGGAACUGAGACACGGUCCAGACUCCUACGGGAGGCAGCAGUAGGGAAUCGUCCGCAAUGGGCGAAAGCCUGACGGAGCAACGCCGCGUGAGUGAUGAAGGUCUUCGGAUCGUAAAACUCUGUUAUUAGGGAAGAACAAAUGUGUAAGUAACUAUGCACGUCUUGACGGUACCUAAUCAGAAAGCCACGGCUAACUACGUG